GUGGGGAAUCUUGCGCAAUGGGCGAAAGCCUGACGCAGCCAUGCCGCGUGAAUGAUGAAGGUCUUAGGAUUGUAAAAUUCUUUCACCGGGGACGAUAAUGACGGUACCCGGAGAAGAAGCCCCGGCUAACUUCGUGCCAGCAGCCGCGGUAAUACGAAGGGGGCUAGCGUUGCUCGGAAUUACUGGGCGUAAAGGGCGCGUAGGCGGACAGUUUAGUCAGAGGUGAAAGCCCAAGGCUCAACCUUGGAAUUGCCUUUGAUACUGGCUGUCUUGAGUACGGGAGAGGUGAGUGGAACUCCGAGUGUAGAGGUGAAAUUCGUAGAUAUUCGGAAGAACACCAGUGGCGAAGGCGACUCACUGGCCCGUUACUGACGCUGAGGCGCGAAAGCGUGGGGAGCAAACAGGAUUAGAAACCCCGGUAGUCC
rnacentral:rRNA from 1 species